rnacentral:pre_miRNA from 1 species
AUGAUGUACUGUUUAGAUUGUUGGGUUCGUCUCUGGGCCUAAGUCUCAUGAGGCCCAGAGACGAACCCAACAAUCUAAACAGUACAUCAUGAG